AUGUUAGCUUCAUCCUUCUUUUCCCCUCUUUUUUGCUCUUUUAGCAUAAGUCACUUUCUCUCUCUUCGAAUUGCUCUUCCUCUACUUUCUCUUUCUUCACGACUCAAAUUCAAUUUCAAGAUUGCUCAGUUUCUUAUUCAAUGGAAAGAACGUUUAGGAAGAGAAGAGGUCUUCGUUCUUCAGACGCAAAUCGCAUUAAUCAACAAAUUCCUGAGUUGCAAAUUUAGCAUUGGAGGUGGCACUAUGUCUUGGUCAGAUUUGGGUUGGAUCGCAGUCAGAUGAUGAGUUAUUUGGGUGAUUUGGGUUGUAUAAUGAUUUUUGGAAGUAAUCGAGUUGAAAUGGAUUUUUGUACAUUACUAUAGUAGUAGAUUUCAAUUGUGGGAUGAGUAGGAUCUCUGUUGUACUUAAACAAAGCAUGCCCUUGUUUCAAUCAUGGUAAAGAUGACACUAUCCGAUACUUCUCAGCUCAUGAGCUCAACAACAUGAAUGUGGAGUUCUGGCACAAUAAUUGCAACUGGUACCAAGGUUCUUUGGAAGGGAAAGCUGUUUUGGUAAAGUUGCUAGAAAGUUUACUUGGUGUCGUUGGUGGUCUAACUUAUAAUGACAGUAAUGUGAGUAUCUUUCUAUUAAUCAUGUUAGACAAAAUGGCAAUGUGUUAUCCACUUGUCUGCUAGAUUAGCUCCUGCUAAUGGUGUAGAACAAUCCUUUGUAAACUCUUUCCCCAAGGCGUUUUAGCUUUCGUGGAUUUGGACUCUUGUUGAUAUAAUACUAUUGCUUCCAUGUUUUCCCCUAAAAAAAGCUUUAUGGGCAUGAUAAAUGACAAUAGUGUUUGUUGGGUUGGCUUCCUCCGUUAAAUUUCUACUUAAUUAGUUUGAUUAGUUGUAGUUUUUACUUUAAUGUUUAUGCUUGUAUAAGUUUUGUUUAAAGUCUGUUAACUCUAUUGGUAGAGCACUGUGCAAGUGCACAUUGAUGUAGGUUCGAAUCCUGCAUAGGCUAUGAAAAGUUGAUUAUCUUUAGAGGGUGACUUCAUUUAAAUAAAGAUCACUAUAUGCAAAAAAAAAAAAAAAAAAAAAAAAAAAAAAAAAAA